AUGCAGUGUAUUUGAAGCUGAAAGGCCAGGAUGUAGAUUUUCUGUACAGCAGAGACUUGGAACAUACUUCUUCAAGACACUAUGUUAUCGUAUACGGCACAGAGCCAGCGCAGAAGGUGAAAAAAAGCCACUGAAGGUGAAAAAACGGAUCAGGAAACUGAAGGUUAUCUUUGAGAAGUUUGGUGAUAUUAAGUACAUAGAUUUCAAAAUGGGAGCUGAGUCAGGAUUCAUUCGAUUUGACGUACCUGAAGCUGCUCAGAAAGCACGUUUUGAUGGCUCAAUGAUUGUUUUGAACUGUUAGAUUCAAUUCAUACACACAACAACAUGGUGCUCACAUCGUCUGCGCGCGAUUACUUCAACCGCAUCUUGCAGGACAUCUUCGGCAUGAAGGUUCUCAUACUUGAUUCUCAAACGCUAAGUAUUGUGAGUAUUGUGUACUCACAGUCAGAACUUCUUCAGAAAUAAUACCAAGAUUUGUAAGCAAUGACUCACUACCUUCUUAUGAAGAGGCUGAGCUUUACAAAUAUGAGUAAAAUCCAAUCCAUCAGGCUUUGUGGCGCCCAUCGCAGUAGGCCUACAGAAACACACUGUAAUUAGUACACCACGGUUUCAAUAUUGUCAAAGUUAGAAUGAGUUUCCAUGAUGGCAUCUGUUACCUUUUGGCAUCCUUGAUUCUAUAUUCAUGAGCAGAAACAGAAGUAUGCUUGUCCCAACCCUGCAACCAGAGGACUUUGGUAUGCUACUGCUUAAAAUUCUAUGAACUAAAUUGACCUUUUCAGAAUCAUUGCAGUGAAGUGAAGAUGAGGUAGCAGAUGUGUGUUGCAUGGCUCUCUCCAAAGUUUUCAAGUGAAACUCCUGAAAAAUUGAUGUAGAAAACCUGAGCUUCAAUAUUAUUUAAGCUGAAAAAACUUUGUUUUCCUGAUUAAGUGUUACCUUGGCUCUUUUCCUUUUUAUAAUAAUGAAAUUGUUGUAAAUAUAGAUAUUCUUACUUGAAA